rnacentral:lncRNA from 1 species
AAUGUCAUGUCCAAUCUGGUGACUGGAAUGAACAACUUAAGCAAAAAGUUUGAUGCUUUCACUGUUUCCACUAGCUCAUGUUCAUAUAAAGAGUUAAAUCCCAUCAUGAAAGUAGAUCAUGAGUUACAAAGUUUAUGUAUCUUGUGCAACAGUUCUGAGCAUCUAGUGGAGUGUUGUCCUAGUUUAUCCACCAUAAAGGCCGAGCAAGCAAAUGCUCUAAAUUCAUAUAGUGCCUUCAAAAAGCCCACUCCCAAUUCAUUCAGUCCAGUCUACCACCCUGAUAAUAGGUUCCACCCAAAUUUCUCAUA